rnacentral:rRNA from 1 species
UACGAAGGAUCCAAGCGUUAUCCGGAUUUAUUGGGUUUAAAGGGUGCGUAGGCGGCGCGGUAAGUCGGGUGUGAAAUCUCGGAGCUUAACUCCGAAACUGCAUUCGAUACUGCCGUGCUUGAGGACUGGAGAGGAGACUGGAAUUUACGGUGUAGCGGUGAAAUGCGUAGAUAUCGUAAGGAAGACCAGUGGCGAAGGCGGGUCUCUGGACAGUUCCUGACGCUGAGGCACGAAGGUCAGGGGAGCAAACGGG